rnacentral:rRNA from 1 species
GACGAACGCUGGCGGCGUGCUUAACACAUGCAAGUCGAGCGGUAAGGCCCUUUCGGGGGUACACGAGCGGCGAACGGGUGAGUAACACGUGGGUGACCUGCCCUCAGCUCUGGGAUAAGCCUGGGAAACCGGGUCUAAUACCGGAUAUGACUCCAUGACGCAUGUUGUGGGGUGGAAAGCCUUGUGCGGCUGAGGAUGGGCCCGCGGCCUAUCAGCUUGUUGGUGGGGUGANGGCCUACCAAGGCGACGACGGGUAGCCGGCCUGAGAGGGCGACCGGCCACACUGGGACUGAGACACGGCCCAGACUCCUACGGGAGGCAGCAGGUGGGAAUCUUGCGCAAGUGGGACGAAAGCCUGACGCAGCGACGCCGCGUGAGGGAUGACGGCCU